UACAGAGGUCUCAAGCGUUGUUCGGAUUCAUUGGGCGUAAAGGGUGCGUAGGCGGCGCGGUAAGUCGGGUGUGAAAUCUCGGAGCUUAACUCCGAAACUGCAUUCGAUACUGCCGUGCUUGAGGACUGGAGAGGAGACUGGAAUUUACGGUGUAGCGGUGAAAUGCGUAGAUAUCUGGAGGAAUACCGGUGGCGAAGGCGGCAUCCUGGACCGACAUUGACGCUGAACGGCGAAAGCUAGGGGAGCAAACGGG
rnacentral:rRNA from 1 species